UACGGAGGGUGCAAGCGUUAUCCGGAUUUACUGGGUUUAAAGGGUGUGUAGGCGGGCUUUUAAGUCAGUGGUGAAAUCUCCGGGCUCAACCUGGAAACUGCCAUUGAUACUAUUAGUCUUGAAUUUUGUUGAGGUAGGCGGAAUAAGUCAUGUAGCGGUGAAAUGCAUAGAUAUGACUUAGAACACCAAUUGCGAAGGCAGCUUGCUACACAAAUAUUGACGCUGAGGCACGAAAGCGUGGGGAUCAAACAGG
rnacentral:rRNA from 1 species